AUUUGCGAAAUACCAGCAGCAAGGUCGCCUUGAAGCAAGAUACAUGCUGCAGCCGGAGGCCCAAAGGUUGAUUCAAACUGCCAUCAGGAAAAGUCUUGUUGUUAGGCAGUACCUUACCUUCGAACUCCAGUUGGCGAGACGGCAGGGGUUGCUAUCAAACAGAUACUAUGCAAUGGUGGGUGACAUCGGGAAGUACAUUGAGAAUUCAGGACUUACUGCCUUCUUUCUCACUCUCAAAUAUGCACUAGGGACCAAAUGGAGUCCUCUAUCAUUGGCUGCAUUCACCGGUGAACUCACUAAGCUCCGAUCCUUGAUGAUGUUAUAUCGAGAUAUCGGAGAACAAGCCAGAUACCUUGCUCUGUUAGAGGCUCCCCAAAUAAUGGACUUUGCACCCGGGGGCUACCCAUUGAUAUUCAGUUAUGCUAUGGGAGUCGGUUCAGUCCUAGAUGUCCAAAUGCGAAAUUACACUUAUGCACGACCUUUCCUAAACGGUUAUUAUUUCCAGAUUGGGGUUGAGACCGCACGAAGGCAACAAGGCACUGUUGACAACAGAGUAGCAGAUGAUCUGGGCCUAACUCCUGAGCAAAGAACUGAGGUUACUCAGCUUGUUGACAGGCUUGCAAGGGGAAGAGGUGCUGGGAUACCAGGUGGGCCUGUGAAUCCUUUUGUUCCUCCAGUUCAACAGCAACAACCUGCUGCCGUAUAUGCGGACAUUCCUGCAUUGGAGGAAUCAGAUGACGAUGGUGAUGAAGAUGGAGGCGCAGGAUUCCAAAAUGGAGUACAAGUACCAGCUGUAAGACAGGGAGGUCAAACUGACUUUAGAGCACAGCCUUUACAAGAUCCAAUUCAAGCACAACUUUUCAUGCCAUUAUAUCCUCAAGUCAGCAACAUCCCAAAUAAUCAGAAUCAUCAGAUCAAUCGCAUCGGGGGGCUGGAAAACCAAGAUUUAUUACGAUACAACGAGAAUGGUGAUUCUCAACAAGAUGCAAGGGGCGAACACGGAAACACUUUCCCAAACAAUCCCAAUCAAAACGCACAGUUGCAAGUGGGCGACUGGGAUGAGUAAAUCACUGACAUGAUCAAACUAACCUCAAUUGCAAUAAUCCUAGGACAAUCUAGCCACAGCUAACUGCCCAAAUCCACUACACUCCAUUCAUAUUUAGUCUUUAAGAAAAAA
rnacentral:misc_RNA from 1 species